rnacentral:rRNA from 1 species
AGCUCCAAUAGCGUAUAUCAAAGUUGUUGCAGUUAAAAAGCUCGUAGUUGGAUCUCGGGAGCAGGCGUGCGGUCCACCUCGCGGUGGUCACUGCGCGUUCCUGCCCUACUUUUUGCCGGACGUCCCCCGGUGCCCUUCGCUGGGUGCCGGGGGUGGCCGGAACGUUUACUUUGAAAAAAUUAGAGUGUUCAAAGCAGGCAUUUCGCCCUGAAUAAUGGUGCAUGGAAUAAUGGAAUAGGACCUCGGUUCUAUUUUGUUGGUUUCCGGAGCUCGAGGUAAUGAUUAAGAGGGACGGCCGGGGGCAUUUGUAUUGCGGCGUUAGAGGUGAAAUUCUUGGAUCGUCGCAAGACAAACCACAGCGAAAGCAUUUGCCAAGAAUGUUUUCAUUA